rnacentral:rRNA from 1 species
AUUCCUUUAAGUUUCAGUCUUGCGACCGUACUCCCCAGGCGGCUAGCUUAACGGCUUCCCUGCGACACUUCAUUCGCGACUUGCGAAUGAAUCAUCUAGCUAGCAUCGUUUACGGCUGGGACUACCCGGGUAUCUAAUCCGGUUCGCUCCCCCAGCUUUCAUCCCUCACCGUCAAGCGCGUUCUGGCGGACCGCCUUCGCCAUUCACCACGCGCGUGGUCGUUAACCGCGCGCAAUCUGGUGGUCUUCCGCGGAUCAAAGGAUUUUACCCCUACACGCGGAGUACCGUCCGCCUCUCCCGCCUCCUAGUCCCGCGGUAUCCUCUGCAGGUCACCCGUUGAGCGGGUGGAUUUAACA